rnacentral:rRNA from 1 species
GACGAACGCUGGCGGCGUGCUUAACACAUGCAAGUCGAACGGAAAGGCCCUGCUUUUGUGGGGUGCUCGAGUGGCGAACGGGUGAGUAACACGUGAGUAACCUGCCCUUGACUUUGGGAUAACUUCAGGAAACUGGGGCUAAUACCGGAUAGGAGCUCCUGCUGCAUGGUGGGGGUUGGAAAGUUUCGGCGGUUGGGGAUGGACUCGCGGCUUAUCAGCUUGUUGGUGGGGUAGUGGCUUACCAAGGCUUGGACGGGUAGCCGGCCUGAGGGGGGGACCGGCCACAUUGGGACUGCGAUACGGCCCAGACUCCUACGGGAGGCAGCAGUGGGGAAUAUUGCACAAUGGGCGGAAGCCUGAUGCAGCAACGCCGCGUGCGGGAUGACGGCCUUCGGGUUGUAAACCGCUUUCGCCUGUGACGAAGCGUGAGUGACGGUAAUGGGUAAAGAAGCACCGGCUAACUACGUG